rnacentral:rRNA from 1 species
GACGAACGCUGGCGGCGUGCUUAACACAUGCAAGUCGAACGGGAUCCGGGCUUUCGGGUUUGGUGAGAGUGGCGAACGGGUGAGUAACACGUGAGUAACCUGCCCCCUUCUUUGGGAUAACGUCGGGAAAUCGGCGCUAAUACUGGAUAUUCUUGCUGCAUCGCAUGGUGUGGUUUGGAAAGGGUUUCUGGUGGGGGAUGGGCUCGCGGCCUAUCAGCUUGUUGGUGGGGUGAUGGCCUACCAAGGCUUUGACGGGUAGCCGGCCUGAGAGGGUGUCCGGCGACACUGGGACUGAGACACGGCCCAGACUCCUACGGGAGGCAGCAGUGGGGAAUAUUGGACAAUGGGCGCAAGCCUGAUGCAGCGACGCCGCGGGAGGGAUGACGGCCUUCGGGUUGUAAACCUCUUUCAGUAUGGAACAAGGAUCCUUAUUUUGGGGGGUUUGAGGGUACGUGCAGAAGAAGCGCCGGCUAACUACGUG